UGCCAGACUCCUACGGGAGGCAGCAGUGAGGAAUAUUGGUCAAUGGGCUUACGCCUGAACCAGCCAAGUCGCGUGAGGGAAGACUGCCCUAUGGGUUGUAAACCUCUUUUGUCAGGGAGCAACGCCGGCUACGUGUAGCCGGACUGAGAGUACCUGAAGAAAAAGCAUCGGCUAACUCCGUGCCAGCAGCCGCGGUAAUACGGAGGAUGCGAGCGUUAUCCGGAUUUAUUGGGUUUAAAGGGAGCGUAGGCCGGUCUUUAAGCGUGCCGUGAAAUUUUGUGGCUCAACCAUGAGAGUGCGGCGCGAACUGGAGACCUUGAGUGCGCGGAAGGCAGGCGGAAUUCGUGGUGUAGCGGUGAAAGGCUUAGAUAUCACGAAGAACCCCGAUUGCGAAGGCAGCCUGCCGCAGCGUUACUGACGCUGAAGCUCGAAAGCGCGGGUAUCGAACAGGAUUAGAUACCCUAGUAUC
rnacentral:rRNA from 1 species